rnacentral:rRNA from 1 species
GUGAGUAACACGUGGAUAACCUACAUAUAAGACUGGGAUAACUUCGGGAAACCGGAGCUAAUACCGGAUAAUAUAUUGAACCGCAUGGUUCAAUAGUGAAAGACGGUUUUGCUGUCACUUAUAGAUGGAUCCGCGCCGCAUUAGCUAGUUGGUAAGGUAACGGCUUACCAAGGCAACGAUGCGUAGCCGACCUGAGAGGGUGAUCGGCCACACUGGAACUGAGACACGGUCCAG